AGUGAACGCUGGCGGUAGGCCUAACACAUGCAAGUCGAACGGCAGCACAGUAAGAGCUUGCUCUUACGGGUGGCGAGUGGCGGACGGGUGAGGAAUACAUCGGAAUCUACUUUUUCGUGGGGGAUAACGUAGGGAAACUUACGCUAAUACCGCAUACGACCUACGGGUGAAAGCAGGGGAUCUUCGGACCUUGCGCGAUUGAAUGAGCCGAUGUCGGAUUAGCUAGUUGGCGGGGUAAAGGCCCACCAAGGCGACGAUCCGUAGCUGGUCUGAGAGGAUGAUGAGCCACACUGGAACUGAGACACGGUCCAGACUCCUACGGGGAGCAGCAGUGGGGAAUAUUGGACAAUGGGCGCAAGCCUGAUCCAGCCAUACCGCGUGGGUGAAGAAGGCCUUCGGGUUGUAAAGCCCUUUUGUUGGGAAAGAAAAGCAGCAGGUUAAUACCCCGCUGUUCUGACGGUACCCAAAGAAUAAGCACCGGCUAACUUCGUG
rnacentral:rRNA from 1 species